UAGCGCCUACGGCUACUACACACCGAGUAGCCACACCCACAUGAUGACGCCGCGCAACACAACCCUCCCCUGACACUCGCUGGCCCCGCCCCCAUGCGCUAGCCCCGCCUGCGGCCCCGCCCUCCGCUGUUUCCCUCUCUUCUUUCUUUCUGUAUUUUUUUCUCCUCAGCGCUCGCUACCCACAAUCCCCCGCGAAAACCCUACAAUGAAAUUUAAGAAGUUUUUUAGGUUUCGGCGCCAUUUUCGAUUGGACUGAGAGUUUGAGCUGGAGCUGAUGUGAAUGUGAUGUGAAUCAGUUCCAGGCUGUUCUGAUUUCAGAUAGGGAUGCUGCAUGAAGACCGAAUUGAGCAUGCAAUGUUGCCUCGGGCCCUGUGUGUGGUGCUGGAUGCUUUGUGGUGAAGUAGCAGCACAUCAUGGUUUGUAGAAACACGGAGAUACAGACCAUUCUGAGCUGCCUCUUCAUCUCAGGGAUGAGCCGACUUGCGCAACCCCCCCCAUCUCUACAACACCUGAGGACAUUGGACCAUCCUGGUGACCUGUCUUGUCUAGAUGAAUGAUCAUCCAAUAUUAGCUUAGAAAACUUCAUCCAUAUAUUAAUUUUUUUGAAAAUGUAACAUCUGCCCAGUGUUCAGA